rnacentral:rRNA from 1 species
GAUGAACGCUAGCGGCAGGCUUAACACAUGCAAGUCGAGGGGCAGCAUAGGAGUAGCAAUACUUCAGAUGGCGACCGGCGGACGGGUGCGUAACGCGUAUGCAACCUACCUUUCACAGGGGGAUAACACUGAGAAAUUGGUACUAAUACCCCAUAUAAUUCGGAGAGGCAUCUCUCUGGGUUGAAAGCUUUUUGUGGUGGAAGAUGGGCAUGCGUUGUAUUAGCUGGUUGGUGAGGUAACGGCUCACCAAGGCGACGAUACAUAGGGGGACUGAGAGGUUAACCCCCCACAUUGGUACUGAGACACGGACCAA